UUGUAAACAGGAAAUUUUGCAUUACCAUCUGGCAACCAGCCUAACCAGAGAUUUUUCAAAGUUUAAACUUUAAAAGUAAAAGGCGAAGGCCACUGAUCAUUUUCAGUCUCGGGAACAUUCUGGCAAAUGAACGGUAGACACACCUCCGGAAGCAUGGAAAAUGGCAGGUUAGAAAUAUUUCGACUUUCGAACUUUUCAGAUCUGAUGAUACCAUCUGAAACGAGGGGCAAAUCACUCUAAGAAAAUUAAAAAAUUAAACAAACCUUGGUGUAGUUUGAUGUAGAUUAUUUUCCAUACCUAGAACCAAACGACGUGGGAUUUAUACGAGCAACGCGCGGCGUUCGACCUGAUUCAAAGACAUACCAGUGGAGCCUGCCAGUCCUGAAAAUGAACACUAGAAAAAGGGGAAAAUACAUAAUUAUUUGGGUCGGGUGGGCGUAUAAAUCCCACGUCGUUUGGUUCUAGGUAUGGAAAAUAAUCUACAUCAAACUACACCAAGGUUUGUUUAAUUUUUUAAUUAUUUUCCAUAACUAGAACCCAAACUCCUUUCGGUAUUUAUACGAGACUUCAAAGAGACUGGCAAUGUGUUGAUCAAGAAGACUUGAACUGAGAAAUGAUCGAUUGUACGCACACAAAUAAUCAAUAUUAACAAUCAAAAUUGGCUAAAAUGCUACUACCAAAGUUACUUUCAUGAAUUGUCUUAUUAUAAAAACGUCCAAAAGUACUCGAAUUCGACCAUCCUGCAGCUUUGUUUAUAGCUGUUAGCGAUAGGCCAAUACUUCGUGCCUUGGAUGUUGAUGCAGCCCUAGUAGAGUGAGAGGUAAAUACAUUAAUAUCAAUUCCUGCCAAUUGCAAAGUGGUUCUCACCCAACGUGAAAUGGUCGAGGUGCAAACAGAUUGAUGAGGAGAUUUAUAACUCACAAACAAUUUCACUCUCGGACCACGUAGAGAGAAUGAUCUAAACAAGUACUGCUGUGUAUUAAAUACAGGACAAAUAGCCUUGCUAUCAGGGAAUGCACGGAAAUCAAGAGGUGACUGAUGAAAACCAGGUCUAGUUGUUUUGAGAACUUGAUCAAUAUAACAAACAACUCUGUCAUCAGAAACAUCCAUAAGUCUGAUGUCAAUAGCAGCAAAUGUUUGGUCUCUCUGUCCUGAUAGAAGACAAAACAAUGUUACAAGACGAAAGAUAUCAUGCCAGCUAGCAGUUGCAGAGACUUCUGUAGUGGGUGCACAGCUUGUGGACGGUUUGGCAGUAACAUUAGAUGCUUGCUGGAAGGAAUAACAAUUCGUUCAGAAAUCAACAUUCUAUUGUACAGAGAAUACCAGGGACUAUAUGGCCAAUUAGGAACAAUUAGAAGACCAGUUGCAUUGUCAGAACAAAUCUUUUGUAAAACAUUAGGAAUAAUUGCAAAUGGUGGAAAGGCAUAAAAUUUAAUGGUUGACCAGCUAAAUGUAAACGAAUCAAUUGCUGAAGCCUCUGGAUCUGGCCAAAACGAUGCAAAAGGCUUAAAUUGGCAAUUGAUUCUAGAGGCAAAUAAAUCAAUGUCUAAGGUAACAUUUAAUUUUUUGAUUACAAAUUUAAACACAGAUGGAUUUAACUGCCAUUCUGUUCGAAG